rnacentral:rRNA from 1 species
UACGUAGGCAGCAAGCGUUGUUCGGAAUUACUGGGCGUAAAGAGUGUGUAGGCGGUGCUCUAAGUCUGUUGUGAAAUCUCCCGGCUUAACUGGGAGGGUGCGGCGGAGACUGGAGUGCUAGAGUGUGGGAGAGGUAAGCGGAAUUCCUGGUGUAGCGGUGAAAUGCGUAGAGAUGCGGAAGAACACCAGUGGCGAAGGCGGUUUACUGGUCUCCAACUGACACUGAGCCGCGAAAGCAUGGGUAGCGAACGGG